rnacentral:misc_RNA from 1 species
CCACCUUUCUUCGCACAUCUCUUUGUGGUACGGGCUGUCUCUUCUUGCCGUCGUCAGUUGGCUUCCCGCCAGCGGAGGAAGCGUCUCUUUACUUGAACGAUUCUUCUCAACGAUCCACGUCGCGAUUACUUCCGAGUGCAUGUACAUUUCAUGCCAACAUCGAUUUAAUCCGAGAUUAGUGCGUUGCAGGGUGCGUCGGGAAAACAGCGAGGACGCGACACGAUUCUCAAAUGCGACACGCAUCGAACGAGGAUACGAUGAUGAAAGAAACGCUGGUCAAGCAAGAAAUCAAAAUGGAGUGGGAGAGCCAUCAUGUCGACGAUAGUUCUCCGCAAGUUACCGCAACCGAUGAUCAGACGGUGUCCAGCCCUCAAAGCGUCAUAACGAGCAGAAAGCACGUUCGAACGAUCACUACCGCCGGUCAUAUAACCGAGGGAAUCGCCGAAGUCGAUCCGGAAUCGCCGGACUCCAAUUCGGUCAGCGGGAAUCUCCAUCAGCAGAGAAACGAGCGGCAACACGAGCAAACGCAGCAGCGUAAUUAUCACGAGGAGCAGACUCAUCAGGCGCAUUACGUGCAGAUCUCUCAUCCGGGCGCAGUCGAGGUGGAUCAACGAGCGGAUCAACAACGCGUCGUUUACGGCACUAGUAACGGCCCUCAAAUACAGGUCGAAGUUUCCGAGAGCUCCGGGGGCACCAUUGCGCUUACGGUCAAGGAACCACCCAGAUACGAGACUCCCGCACCGGACGGUACCGAGAUGGACCGGUACGCGAUAUCUUAUCCGGAUAGUCACGAGAUACGAAGGGAGAAUCAAGUGAUCGCCGUACAAAUGGCCGAUCGGCGAGGCCAGCAUCAGGCCGGGCAUCAGAAAUUCAGUCCGCACGACAAUCAUCAUCAGGCGAGAUAUACAUCGCCGGUUCUCACCGCCACGACGGAGGACUACGGCGCUGCGACGAUCGCCGCGCAAUCGGGAUCCACGGUCCAUCUGGGGUCACCCGCACCGCCGUAUUCGCCGCCCAUGGACGGCAUUCGUCCCGGUCAGCAGCAGUCGCAACAACACCUCGUGUCGACGAGCUACUCCGACGCCAGCGGCGUCGUCAAGUACGAUCCGCCCGAGUCCGCGACCGCCGUGGAAACCAUCAAAGGUCCGAACACGUACACCACUCUAGAGACAGUCGCCAUUCCGCCCGCGCAAACCGCUCAAUAUACGCAAUAUUUGUCGGCCAGCGAGACGUUUCAGCAGGCACCGACCUAUAGCUAUGCCAAACCGGGCGAUCCCGUGAUCCUGGCGUAUCCACCAUCAACUCCACUUGGAUCGAGAGUGACCGAGGUGGAAUCACCCGGCAAUGCGUUCAUGAAAGGUGAUCCGACGUUGACGUCAUCCUUGACCUCCGCUCGGGCGGUUCCGCUACAUUACGAGCAACCCGGUUCGCCGGGUUCUCAAGUGACUUUGUACAGCACAGGACCGACGUCGUAUCAAUACGUGAAGCAAUCCUCGGCGCAAAACGAUCCUUACUGGCCGGCCGGUAGCACCCCCUCGCCCCCGACCUUGGAGUACGUCCCGAGUUAUCCGAGCAUCAUCUCCGUCGGCGACACCAAUAUGCAGCUGUACUCGGGUGGCGGAUACAGCGUCUCUACGAGCGGGGGCGGACCAUCGGGAUGGACUACUACCCUUCCGAUUGCCGGUACCGACGAGUCCUUCGAAAAUGCCGUUAUAGAAACCAAAGAAUGCGCCAACUGUGCGUCACAAAUGACGCCGUUAUGGAGACGGGACGGCGCCGGGCAUUAUCUUUGCAAUGCCUGCGGACUUUAUGGCAAGAUGAACGGGGUCAACAGGCCACCCAUGAGAUGUCCUAAACCGAAGCAGACGGUACCGGUAAACAUUACCGGUGUACGAAGGACAGGAGUUCAAUGUGCAAAUUGCAGAACAAACAACACGACUCUUUGGCGGCGAAAUAACAAUGGUGAACCAGUUUGCAACGCGUGCGGACUUUAUUUCAAGCUGCAUAAUGUGAACAGGCCGUUGAGCAUGAAGAAGGAGGGAAUACAGACGCGAAAACGGAAACCAAAGAAUCAUUCGGGAUCCAUCACUGGAAAUCUCCCCGGACCUAGUGGUAUCCACAAGACCGAGAUCAAGUCCAACCUACUCGGUGAGUCUUCGUGGACGCGUUGCAGUUGAAUACAAUAUACACAAGCGGGGGCGGGGGUGGUGAAGGGGUCGAAGGGCACAGUCUUCCUGUAGGUACACCAACUGGAGCGCAAUUAGGACACGCACAUUCGCCCCUUGCAUUACCUACCGCCGCCGUGUUGAAUCGCCAAACCACCCUUACCGUGCCACCCCUAGAACCAAUCACUAGUCAGUCCAGCGGUGACCUCGCCUCGGUUAUAACGUCUACUACGGCAGCACAUUCCGAGAGAUCGUAGAGAACCGUUUCGUUCUUACCGACUUGAAAGCACUUGCCGACUGCAGCUGCAACGAACUCUGUGAAAAAAAUUCUGGCAAAAGCAUACCGAUUUAUGAUUGCUUAUCGGUAUCGAUGUUUAUCGACAACGCAGAGUGCACGAAAAUAUGAAGACGAUACGUAUCAUUUUGUAGAAAUAAAAUAAUAUGUAUUUUUUAUAAGGAAUCCGUAUUCGCUCGAUCAUUCAAUGCUGGAGGAAGAGCAUACGAGCUUUAUCAUAAUCCUAUAAAAAAUAAAAAAUACAACGCUAAACGCGCAAUGUUAACGGGAAGUUUAGCAUCCUAGUCUAAUUAUUGCGAAUUUGAGAUUAGGAAAUAACUAUGAAUAAUGUUAUAUAUUCCUAUCGCGCUUUAUAUAUAUAUAUAUAUAUUUAUAUUUAUUUAAGUUACAUUUACUUAACAGUCUAUGUCAGCGCUUGAAAAUUAAAAAGCGUGAUAUUGUAUAGCAUAUUAUUCUGUUCUAUUAUCUCUUUACGCUUUACACUAAUUAUUAAUCAUGUCGAAAUUUUGCAAAAUAACGAAAGCAUCUACGAUCUAUUAUAUAUGAUACAAUAUCGGUAAUAUUUUCUACAAUAAUGCGUCCCUUUGACGUUAUACUAUCGAUAUUGUAGACUGCUUCAUCGCAGAAUAUACCUGAACCGAUACGCUCCCUGUCAGAAGAAACGAAAGAUACAAUUAUAUUGUAAGGAGAAAGAAAAAUGUGAAAAAACUUAUAUUAUGGAUUAUAUAAAAUUUCAAUUAAAUUUGACUCGAGUCUCUUCUUUUACAUAAAGAUGUUUUAUAAGAAGCUCUUUUAUACAGAGACUCUAGUUCAAAUCACAUUUUAUUAUGUUAUUCGUUAUCUAUUUUACAAUAUACUUGAUUUCUUUUCGUCUCUUUUACGAUAAUGCAACGUACAAGACAUUCUAAAUGAUUAAUCUAUAUUUAGCGUGCGACUUGUACUUAACAUGUGACAUGUAUAUAGUAUGGCUCAUAUUUGCUCGAUUUUGUAAAUAUAUAUUUACAUCA